rnacentral:rRNA from 1 species
AGUGAACGCUGGCGGCAGGCCUAAUACAUGCAAGUCGAACGGCAGCACAGCAGAGCUUGCUCUGUGGGUGGCGAGUGGCGGACGGGUGAGGAAUACAUGGGAAUCUGCCCAGUCGUGGGGGAUAACGUAUGGAAACGUACGCUAAUACCGCAUGCGCCCUACGGGGGAAAGUCGGGGACCGCAAGGCCUGACGCGAUUGGAUGAGCCCAUGUUCGAUUAGCUAGUUGGCGGGGUAAAGGCCCACCAAGGCGACGAUCGAUAGCUGGUCUGAGAGGAUGAUCAGCCACACUGGAACUGAGACACGGUCCAGACUCCUACGGGAGGCAGCAGUAGGGAAUAUUGGACAAUGGGGGCAACCCUGAUCCAGCCAUGCCGCGUGAGUGAAGAAGGCCCUCGGGUUGUAAAGCUCUUUUGUCCGGAAAGAAAAGCAAUCGGUUAAUACCCGGUUGUUCUGACGGUACCGGAAGAAUAAGCACCGGCUAACUACGUGCCAGC